AGAGUUUGAUCCUGGCUCAGGACGAACGCUGGCGGCGUGCUUAACACAUGCAAGUCGAACGAUGAAGCCCUUCGGGGUGGAUUAGUGGCGAACGGGUGAGUAACACGUGGGCAAUCUGCCCUUCACUCUGGGACAAGCCCUGGAAACGGGGUCUAAUACCGGAUAACACUCUGUCCCGCAUGGGACGGGGUUAAAAGCUCCGGCGGUGAAGGAUGAGCCCGCGGCCUAUCAGCUUGUUGGUGGGGUGAUGGCCUACCAAGGCGACGACGGGUAGCCGGCCUGAGAGGGCGACCGGCCACACUGGGACUGAGACACGGCCCAGACUCCUACGGGAGGCAGCAGUGGGGAAUAUUGCACAAUGGGCGAAAGCCUGAUGCAGCGACGCCGCGUGAGGGAUGACGGCCUUCGGGUUGUAAACCUCUUUCAGCAGGGAAGAAGCGAGAGUGACGGUACCUGCAGAAGAAGCGCCGGCUAACUACGUGCCAGCAGCCGCGGUAAUACGUAGGGCGCAAGCGUUGUCCGGAAUUAUUGGGCGUAAAGAGCUCGUAGGCGGCUUGUUGCGUCGGUUGUGAAAGCCCGGGGCUUAACCCCGGGUCUGCAGUCGAUACGGGCAGGCUAGAGUGUGGUAGGGGAGAUCGGAAUUCCUGGUGUAGCGGUGAAAUGCGCAGAUAUCAGGAGGAACACCGGUGGCGAAGGCGGAUCUCUGGGCCAUUACUGACGCUGAGGAGCGAAAGCGUGGGGAGCGAACAGGAUUAGAUACCCUGGUAGUCCACGCCGUAAACGUUGGGAACUAGGUGUUGGCGACAUUCCACGUCGUCGGUGCCGCAGCUAACGCAUUAAGUUCCCCGCCUGGGGAGUACGGCCGCAAGGCUAAAACUCAAAGGAAUUGACGG
rnacentral:rRNA from 2 species